AACGAAUUUUGUAAUUUUUUAAAAUUAUAAUAAAAUCUAUCGAGCGCGCAUAAAAUGAAUAAUCAAAAUCGAACGAUCUCUUAAAAAUAGAAGAUCAAGCUUUAAUUUAAGAUCGAAGUUAUUGAUCUUCAUCCAAAUAGUGAAUAAAAUUUUCUAUCAAAACUUCAAUCGAUACUGAUUCUUUUAUAUCGUUAAACUAGACAGUUUUUCGUAGCAGCCAUUAAAAAUUAUCAAUUUUGAUAUCUUUUGAUUGUGAGGUAAUAAUGCCGAGAAAUUAUAAAAUUUGGUUUCUAAAUGUUUGCAAAUGUUCUAAAUCAUGUUUAACAAAAUAGAUUGCCGAAUAUAGAUAGUUGAGUUAAAAUACUAUCAGUAGCAAAUGAACUCUGUUGUUAUCAAUUUGUUUUUGGAUGAUGUAACCUCUAAAUUGAUCAUCGGCACCAUUGAUCAUAAUUUAUACCACUUUAAGUAUCCAGCAAUCAAAUUUUAUAUUUUUUUCGAUAUUAUUUUAU
rnacentral:lncRNA from 1 species